rnacentral:rRNA from 1 species
CAGCCGUAAACAAUGUGCGUUAGGUGUGUCGGUAACCACGCGUUACUGAUGCGCCGAAGAGAAAUCGUGAAACGCACCACCUGGGAAGUACGGUCGCAAGGCUGAAACUUAAAGGAAUUGGCGGGGGGAGGCACCACAACGGGUGGAGCCUGCGGUUUAAUUGGACUCAACGCCGGAAAUCUCACCGGAUAGGACAGACAUAUGAUAGUCGGGCUGAAGACUCUACUUGAUGAUCUGAGAGGUGGUGCAUGGCGUCAGUGACU